rnacentral:rRNA from 1 species
UAACAAGGUCUCCGUUGGUGAACCAGCGGAGGGAUCAUUACCGAGUUUACAACUCCCAAACCCCUGUGAACAUACCUUAUGUUGCCUCGGCGGAUCAGCCCGCGCCCCGUAAAAAGGGACGGCCCGCCGCAGGAACCCUAAACUCUGUUUUUAGUGGAACUUCUGAGUAUAAAAAACAAAUAAAUCAAAACUUUCAACAACGGAUCUCUUGGUUCUGGCAUCGAUGAAGAACGCAGCAAAAUGCGAUAAGUAAUGUGAAUUGCAGAAUUCAGUGAAUCAUCGAAUCUUUGAACGCACAUUGCGCCCGCCAGUAUUCUGGCGGGCAUGCCUGUUCGAGCGUCAUUUCAACCCUCAAGCCCAGCUUGGUGUUGGGAGCUGCAGUCCUGCUGCACUCCCCAAAUACAUUGGCGGUCACGUCGAGCUUCCAUAGCGUAGUAAUUUACACAUCGUUACUGGUAAUCGUCGCGGCCACGCCGUUAAACCCCAACUUCUGAAUG